GCCGGUAGACUCCCACCCUUGUGUAAUAUAAAUAUCUGUUGCUUUGGCGGGUCGCGAGCUCCCCCUCCCCUGUGUACCCGCCAGAAAUAAACUCUGAAUAUUAUUGUCUGAUUAUAUAAUAAUUAAAACUUUCAACACGGAUCUCUUGUUCUGGCAUCGAUGAAGAACGCCGAAAUGCGAUAAGUAAUGUGAAUUGCUGAAUUUGAAUCAUCAAUCUUUGAACGCACAUUGUUCCCCUUGGUAUUCCGGGGGGCAUGCCUGUUGAGCGUCAUUAUAACCAAUCCUCCUUGUUGGGUCUGGGGCUACGCCUCCCUGGUCGGCCUUAAAAACACUGGCGGUGCUCUCCUCCUCUACGUAUAAUUUCUCUCCGAUUGGGUCUGGAGGGAUGCUUGCCUGCACCCCCAAUUUUUUG
rnacentral:misc_RNA from 1 species